GUGAACCAACACAGUUCUUAUACCUUCGGUGGGGUUAAGAAGGGAUCAGUGGCUGAGAGCCUCAACCUGGACUCCAGCCUCAUCAUGAACUCCAGCGAUCUCCCUCUGCUUUCCCGCUGAGAUCCGCACCGCGCCGCUCCGAGUCUCCGACUUGAGGAUGCUCCCAAAGGACCCCCCGAAACCAAGCAGACUGAAUCAGCCGGGCCCUGGAGGGGACCCAGGCUCAGGAGCUUCCGAGCUACGGUUCUGUCGUUCUGUGUGAAACUAUCCUGGACAGAACUCUGACCAUAAACAAAACGAACAUUACUCGGUUGUCAAAACGAACAUUACUCGUUUUCUUUUCGUGUGGGGAGGGGGGGAGCGGGUUUUCAAGACCAUUUUUAUUGUUAUUUAUCUUUUAGGAAAAAAAUAUGUACGGAUAAAUAGCGUAUCAAAUUGUAGCUUUUUGUUAGUUAUGGGUAGGAAUAGUAGUAACCAGCCAGCCACUACAAAGAUUUUAGUACUUUUAUAUAACACAAUGGACGCUCUUGGUUGAAGAAGACACAAUACUUUGAUAUAGCGAACACAUAACUUUUUUAUUUUUUAAGGUUUGUGUACAAAAUUAUGAACAAUAUUGUUUUUGCCUAGUCAGUUUGAAUAUGGGUCUGUUAAAAUCAGAUAUCCAUUUUCACAUACAUGGCUGGAGGAUCUGAAAUCACAACUGGUUCUGUUUAAAUAUUAUACAUAUGUCAUGCUAACACAACGACAUAGUGCUCUGGUUUCAUUAAGAAUUAUGUUCAGAUUGAUGGAGUUAUAGGCUUUAAUUUGAUAGAAUUAAUCUACCAGACCAGUAUUUUAAUUUUAAGAAGGUUGUUAAAUGAUGGUCAACAUAUCAAAGGUUUCCUAAAAAGAAAAAUGUGUGUGUAGAUGAUGUGGUGUAUUUGACAUUGUAUAGUGGCACCUAUUCCCCCCUGAAGAGCUUACUGUGUACCUUAUGAUAAUCAAGAUAAUCGUUUCAAUAUACCAACACCUGCCAUGAGUAAUGUAUUAAC
ensembl:lncRNA